AAAGGGCGCGUAGGCGGCUAGGUAAGUUAGAUGUGAAAGCCCAGGGCUCAACCUUGGAAGUGCAUCUAAAACUACCUAACUAGAGUCUCGGAGAGGGUGGUAGAAUUCCCAGUGUAGAGGUGAAAUUCGUAGAUAUUGGGAGGAAUACCGGUGGCGAAGGCGACCGCCUGGACGAAGACUGACGCUGAGGCGCGAGAGCGUGGGGAGCAAACAGGAUUAGAUACCCUAGU
rnacentral:rRNA from 1 species